CCUGGUUGAUCCUGCCAGUAGUCAUAUGCUUGUCUCAAAGAUUAAGCCAUGCAUGUCUAAGUAUAAACAACUUUAUACUGUGAAACUGCGAAUGGCUCAUUAAAUCAGUUAUAGUUUAUUUGAUAGUACCUUACUACUUGGAUAACCGUAGUAAUUCUAGAGCUAAUACAUGCGAAAAGACCCGACUUUUUGGAAGGGUUGCAUUUAUUAGAUACAAAACCAAUGGCCAGCAAUGGUCACACUUGGUGAUUCAUAAUAACUUUUGCGGAUCGCAUAGCUUUACGCUGGCGACGAAUCAUUCAAAUUUCUGCCCUAUCAACUUUCGAUGGUACGGUAUUGGCCUACCAUGGUUACAACGGGUAACGGGGAAUUAGGGUUCGGUUCCGGAGAGGGGGCCUGAGAAAUGGCCACCACAUCCAAGGGAGGCAGCAGGCGCGCAAAUUACCCAAUCCUGAUACAGGGAGGUAGUGACAAUAAAUAACAAUGCAGGACCUUUACGGGUUUUGUAAUUGGAAUGAGUACAAUUUAAAUCUCUUAACGAGCACCAAUUGGAGGGCAAGUCUGGUGCCAGCAGCCGCGGUAAUUCCAGCUCCAAUAGCGUAUAUUAAAGUUGUUGCAGUUAAAAAGCUCGUAGUUGAAUCUCGGAGUCCUUUUUUCUUCGGAAACGCCGAUGGUCGGAAACCCAGAGCCUCGAAAGGGGUGGAUGGGGCUGUUUACUUGAGGCAGGGCUCACAUCUGAGUUUCUCGAAGGUGGCCUCUGCUCUUCACUGGGUUGGGGGACUUUUUCACAUUCGAGACAUUUACUUUGAAAAAAUUAGAGUGUUCAAAGCAGGCAGUUUCGCUUGAAUACAUUAGCAUGGAAUAAUGGAAUAGGACUUUGGUCUUAUUUUGUUGGUUUCUAGGACUGAAGUAAUGAUUAAUAGGGACAGCUGGGGGCAUUAGUAUUUAAUUGUCAGAGGUGAAAUUCUUGGAUUUAUGAAAGACUAACUUCUGCGAAAGCAUUUGCCAAGGAUGUUUUCAUUAAUCAAGAACGAAAGUUAGGGGAUCGAAGACGAUUAGAUACCGUCGUAGUCCUAACCAUAAACUAUGCCGACUCGGGAUCGGUGAGCGUGUUUUUUUACUACCUCAUCAGCACCGUAGGAGAAAUCGAAGUUUUUGGGUUCUGGGGGGUGUAUGGUCGCAAGGCUGAAACUUAAAGGAAUUGACGGAAGGGCACACCAGGUUUGGAGCCUGCGGCUUAAUUUGACCCAACACGGGGAAACUCACCAGGUCCAGACAUCGUAAGGAUUGACAGAUUGAGAGCUCUUUCUUGAUUCGAUGGAAAGUGGUGCAUGGCCGUUCUUAGUUGGUGGAUUGCUCUGUCUGGUUUAUUCCGUUAACGAACGAGAC
rnacentral:rRNA from 1 species